AAUGUCAAUUGCUUUCCAUGGCCAAUGUUCGUCUGGCAACGCUGUUCCUCUUGACAACAGCUGACAGCUGAAUUCGCCGCAGUUUUUGUUUCGAUUUUAUAUUAUGUCUCACUUUUUGUUUUUCUCAUCUGUCGCUGCCUACGCUAAGCUAGUUUGGCUCUGUCGCAAUCUGUGAUCGUUUGCAUAACUGUAUCUACGUGCGCUUGCGUGUAUGUGUGUAUGGCUUUCUCAGGGUAGAAAACCUUUAGUUCGCUUCGCAGAGAUCGUUUUCAAUUUUCGAUGCGCAAUACAAUUUUUUCCCCUGAAUUCGUUUCUUUUGCGUUUCUUUUCUCGUUGUCGCGCCUUAAAGCUGUGCAGAGCGGAGUUUACUGAAACACAUUGUGUCUCUAGAAUUACGACGCAGCCAGAAACAUCUAUGCAUGUGUAUCUGUGUGCGUGCAUGUAGGUAGUAGAGAAUUCGAAUUUACAUACAUAUGUAUGUAUGUAUGUAUGUAUGUAUGUCGUGAUUUUAGUUGCUUAGCUGGAGGUCUGUGAUGAAAUAAGGAGGGUUUGUCCGUAUAAAAUACGUACAAAAUACUUGAGAAUAUUUAACGUACUUAAUAUAAAGCAAUUUAUUAUAUACAUAUAUUAUAAUAAAUUGCUUUAAACACGAACUAAUCACAGCUAAAACAGACUAGACUAGAAGAGAUUCUGAGCUGUUAUUUCAAUAACUCUACGGCUCUUUUACAGAAUACUAAAGGGCUGAAGAACUUUUGUUCUAGUUGGACUUAAUUAAAUUUCAGAGAGUAAGAGUGACCUCCAAAAUGAAUCAAAUUUAUGUAUACAUAACAGCCAUGUAUACAGUGAAUUUGAAGUCUCCAGCAUUUCCGGCAUUCAAGGGAGGCGUGUAAGAACAAUUAAUCGAUCGAUUAUUAUCGAUAUACAAAAUGGAAUGCGCACGGGCAGAUCAAUCGACUCGGCUCAUAAUCCUCAUACACAUACAUAUACUUUCAGUGCUCUAUCUUGGCUCAUUCUCUCUGUUAUAUUACGAUCCCCUUAAUGACAUUCGCGUCUUCCGAUAGUGAAUAUCCUAUUAUCGAUAAUAAUCUAUAUUAUCCGAUAGUCGGAUAUGGUAUUUAAGGAUUAUUUAAAGUACCAUUAAAGUGAGUUUAACUAGUUGUUUCAGCAUGAACAUGUCAUUGACGGCCUCCUGUUGACGUAGACCCUGGAGGGAUCAUUCCCGACGCCCAUCGAGUAUAUGGAUCUAAGUAAAACAAUUGUGUCCCAUGUUCUCUGGAUUACUCGAUGUGAGCCACCAUGGAUUAGAUUAAGAAACUACGAAAGAAUUUUUAAUAAAAGACGUCGCUCUUGGAGAGACAAUAAUUGUAGCACAAUA
rnacentral:sRNA from 1 species